rnacentral:rRNA from 1 species
AUACGGAGGGUGCAAACGUUGUUCGGAAUCACUGGGCGUAAAGGGCGCGCAGGCGGUUUGAUUAGUCAGAUGUGAAAGCCCACGGCUUAACCGUGGAAGUGCAUUUGAAACUGUCAGACUUGAGUACCAGAGGGGGUAGUGGAAUUCCCGUUGUAGAGGUGAAAUUCGUAGAUAUCGGGAGGAAUACCGGUGGCGAAGGCGACUACCUGGCUGGAUACUGACGCUGAGGCGCGAAGGCGUGGGGAGCAAACAGGAUUAGAAACCCCAGUAGUCC